rnacentral:rRNA from 1 species
UACGUAGGGUGCGAGCGUUAAUCGGAAUUACUGGGCGUAAGCGUGCGCAGGCGGUUCUGCAAGACAGGUGUGAAAUCCCCGGGCUUAACCCGGAAUGGCGCUCGAUACUGUUGAGCUAGAGUGUGGAAGGGGCUACUGGAAUUCCGUGUGUAGCGGUGAAAUGCGUAGAUAUACGGAGGAACACCAGCGGCGAAGGCGGGCAGCUGGGCCAACACUGACGCUGAUGCGCGAAGCUAGGGGAGCAAACGGG